rnacentral:lncRNA from 1 species
CUUUUCCUUCUUGGUCUCCUCUUGUGCUUCACCGGAAUCUGCAGAGCUCUCUCCAGCUUCCUCAGUGUCUUUCACCUUUGCAGAGCCGGUGGUUUUCGACUUGCCUGUGCCAUUAGCAUUGGGUUUCCCGCCACUCUUGCCUACUGACUUCCCCUUCGCGUUGGAAGAGGUUGUUGCUUUUGGAGUCUCCAACUUGGACGAUUUUCCUGCAGUCUUCCUGCUCUCUUGUUUGGAUUUGGCACUAGUAGCUUUAGGUGUUGUAAUAUCAUCCGUUUUGGAUUUUCCUGGAGCUUUCAAACCACUCUUGUGAGUAGUAGUAGUAGUAGUAGUAGUAGUAGGUUUCUUAGUCUUGGCAUUACUAUCAUCGUCGGUGUUCUUGGGAGCUUUGGGGUCGUCAUCAAUAGCCUUCGGCUUCCGCCCACCUUUUCCCCCGAAUUUAGUCCUGGAUUUGCUAGAAGCUC